AGCAGCCGCGGUAAUUCCAGCUCCAAUAGCGUAUAUUAAAGUUGUUGCAGUUAAAAAGCUCGUAGUUGAAUUUCGGAGUUUAUCGGUUGGUCGGGCUUCACUGUCCGCACUGGCCUGAUGGAUUCCUACCUUCUGAAUAACCAGCAUGCUAUUAAUUUAGUGCGUUGGGGAAGCAGAGCUAUUACCUUGAAAAAAUUAGAGUGCUUAAAGCAGGCUUAUGCUUGAAUAGAUUAGCAUGGAAUAAUAAAAUAGGACGGCUUGGUUCUAUUUUGUUGGUUUCUAGGAUCACCGUAAUGAUUAAUAGGGAUAGUUGGGGGCAUUAGUAUUCAAUUGUCAGAGGUGAAAUUCUUGGAUUUAUUGAAGACUAACUUCUGCGAAAGCAUUUGCCAAGGAUGUUUUCAUUAAUCAAGAACGAAAGUUAGGGGAUCGAAGACGAUCAGAUACCGUCGUAGUCUUAACCAUAAACUAUGCCGACUAGGGAUCGGACGAUGUUAAUUUUUAAUGACUCGUUCGGCGUCCG
rnacentral:rRNA from 1 species